rnacentral:rRNA from 1 species
AAAUGACUCUCGGCAACGGAUAUCUCGGCUCUCGCAUCGAUGAAGAACGUAGCGAAAUGCGAUACUUGGUGUGAAUUGCAGAAUCCCAAUCCCGUGAACCAUCGAGUCUUUGAACGCAAGUUGCGCCCGAAGCCAUCCGGCCGAGGGCACGUCUGCCUGGGCGUCACGC